UACGUAGGGCGCAAGCGUUGUCCGGAAUUAUUGGGCGUAAAGAGCUCGUAGGCGGUUUGUCGCGUCUGUCGUGAAAGCUUGGGGCUUAACCCUAAGUCUGCGGUGGAUACGGGCAGGCUAGAGGCAGGUAGGGGAGAACGGAAUUCCCGGUGUAGCGGUGAAAUGCGCAGAUAUCGGGAAGAACACCCGUGGCUAAGGCGGCUCUCUAGUACGGUACUGACGCUGAGACGCGAAAGCGUGGGGAGCGAACAGG
rnacentral:rRNA from 1 species